rnacentral:rRNA from 1 species
GAUGAACGCUGGCGGCGUGCCUAAUACAUGCAAGUCGAGCGAACAGACGAGUUGCUGGCUCCUCUGACGUUAGAGGCGGACGGAUGAGUAACAUAUGGUGAACCUGCCUAUGAGACUACGAUAAGUUCGGGAAACCGGUACUAAUACCGGAUAAUAUCUGCAAGCGCAUGGUUCAAUAGUGUAAGACGGUUUUGCUGUACCCGCGAGAUAGAUCCGCGCCGCAUUAGCUAGUUGGUAAGAUAACGGCUUCCGAUGGCCACCAUGAGUAGCCGACCGGCGAGGGUGAUCGGCCACACAGGAACUGAGACACGGUCCAGACUCCUACGGGCGGCAGCAGUAGGUAAGCUUCCGCAAUGGGCGAAAGCCUGACGGAGCAACGCCGCGUGAGUGAAGAAGGUCUUCGGGUCGUAAAACUCUGUUAUUAGGGAAGAACAAAUGUGUAAGUAACUAUGCACGUCUUGACGGUACCUAAUCAGAAAGCCACGGCUAACUACGUG